rnacentral:rRNA from 1 species
UACGGAGGGUGCAAGCGUUAUCCGGAUUCACUGGGUUAAAGGGUGCGUAGGUGGGUCUGUAAGUCAGUGGUGAAAUCUCCAAGCUUAACUUGGAAACUGCCAUUGAUACUAUAGGUCUUGAAUAUCCUGGAGGUUGAGCGGAAUAUGAUCAUGUAGCGGUGAAUGACUUAGAUAUGACAUAGAACACCAAUUGCGAAGGCAGCUCACUACGGGAUUAUUGACACUGAGGCACGAAAGCGUGGGGAUCAAACAGG